rnacentral:tRNA from 1 species
GCCAGUGUAGCUCAGGGGUAGAGCAACUGAUUCGUAAUCAGUAGGUCGUCGGUUCGAAUCCGACCUCUGGCU